rnacentral:lncRNA from 1 species
UUUCUUAAUUUUUUAUUAAGAUAUUUACAGUACCUGGAAUUUGUGAUUUUUUUUUUGUUUUGUUAUUUUUUAUUUUGCUUGCUGUGGUUAUUGUUGCUGGAAAGUGACAGUGGCAGUGUUUUUUCCACUGCAAUCUAUUGCUUUUCUAUGACUCACCAUCUACAGUGAAAAAAAAAAAAAAAAAAAAAAACAACUUCAAAUAUUCCAAGUGAAAACAUUACCUCUAGAUCAGUGAUUAUUUUUUAUUUAUUUAAAUUUUUAGCGAUAAUGAUGGCCUGUCUAUACAUUAUCCCUUAUAUAUUCCUCUCUGGCAGUGUAUAUAACGAGGAGGUUUGAGAGCAGGUGUUGUUAUCAGGUCUGCAUUGAACACACAGAGAGGGCUGCUGUCUGCCAGUCUCUGAUUGUAAAUGUUCUCUCCUCUCAUUCGGUCUUUCUCUCUGCCUCCCUCUCUCUCUCCUCUGUUCGCCCUUUAAACAGGGAUCUGCUAUGUGUCUUUCCUAUCUCAUCCGGAGAUAAUGCUUUAUGGGACAGACACACACAUGGUAACAGCAGGAGAGUGUGUGAUCUGUCACCGUCAACGCUUCUACAGUACUCUGGCCUGAAGUCAUUUUUUCCACAGGAGAGAAAGGGAAGGGAACACAGCUAAUGGAUGCUUGGUCUAUUACAGUCUGUGUCGUGUGAAAACCAGGACCAUCACUGCAUGUCUGCAACGACACGGCUCUCCUUCAAACUCUAUGCCAAAGUGCCCCGUACCUCUUUUGUCUGCCCACACAGCCUCCCGCUGCCCUCACGGGCAUAUGCUCCUCACACGCUCCGGGGCACCACCAGGUACAGGUGUGGAUGGGGCCAGAAAUGGGCACUGGAUCCUGAAACCAACAGAAGAGCCCUGGAGGGUUUCAUAACAGCCUGAAUCCUCGUGCUCUGACACUCACGCAUCGACUAAAAAAGACUGGCCCCUGCAGUGUGGAGAGGAAAUAAGAGAGAAAUCGCAUCCAACAGGAAGAGGAGAGAGAGGGAAAAAGGAAAACGGAGAUUCACAAAUAACCUUGAUAAAUUUAUGUUCUAAAAUAAUUUUUAGACGUGUGUUUUGAUUGCAAGAAUGUUAAUGUUCCUAAUGUGAUUUGUAGUAUUACAGUGGUGAGUAGUUCUGUAGUAUUUUAUUAAAUAUGUAAAAACUUAUAUCUAGGCUAUACUGUCCACAUUUUUUUUUAUUAUUUUUUACACAAAUGUAACAUUUACAUUACAUUAGAGUAACAUUCAAACAACGCUGCAGUAAUGGUUCUUUACAUUUAACAUCAGGAGUAUUUUCCAUCAGUGUUAUUUUAUAUACUUUGUGUGUGUUUGUGAGAUGCAUUGCUAACUGAAAUGUGAAAAAUAUAAAUAUUAUACAAAUAUUAUAUUUUAUGUACUGAGAAUUAUUUAGAUUUGUUUUAAAUUAUUUAUAUACUGUUAUA